rnacentral:misc_RNA from 1 species
CCAGAGAUGGUGGGCUUCGGCCCCCGUCCCCAACCCUUUGCUGAUCAAAACCCUUUUGCCUCGGGGGCAGAGCGUCCGCCGCCGCCCCCGGAGGACCACCGAACACUGUCUCUGUACGUCGGAGUAUUGAUUAAAUGAAUGA